rnacentral:rRNA from 1 species
GACAGAGGCCCCAAGCGUUAGUCGGAAUCACUGGGCUUAAAGGGUGCGUAGGCGGACGUGUGCGUGCUUUGUGAAAGCCCCGGGCUCAACCCGGGAACCGCAGGGCAUACGGCACGUCUUAGAGGAAGCUAGAGGCCGGCAGAACGAUCGGUGGAGCGGUGGAAUGCGUAGAGAUCGAUCGGAAUGCCAAGGGUGAAGACAGCCGGCUGGGGCUUUCCUGACGCUGAGGCACGAAAGCGUGGGGAUCAAACAGG